rnacentral:rRNA from 1 species
UACGUAGCAGGAGGACAUAUCAUAAGCGGAGGAGCAUAUCAAUAAGCGGAGGAGCAUAUCAAUAAGCGGAGGAGCAUAUCAAUAAGCGGAGGAGCAUAUCAAUAAGCGGAGGAACAUAUCAAUAAGCGGAGGAACAUAUCAAUAAGCGGAGGACCUAAGUCAUUUUGUUUGAUUAAAUUCAAAAUAAUCUUCAAAACUUUCAACAACGGAUCUCUAGGUUCUCGCAUCGAUGAAGAACGCAGCGAAAUGCGAUAAGUAAUAUGAAUUGCAGAUUUUCGUGAAUCAUCGAAUCUUUGAACGCACAUUGCGCCCUUUGGUAUUCCAAAGGGCAUGCCUGUUUGAGCGUCAUUUCUCCUUCAAACCCCCGGGUUUGGUAUUGAGUGAUACUCUUAGUCAGACUAGGCGUUUGCUUGAAAAGUAUCGGCAUGAGUGCGCUAGAUAGUGCCUCCGAUUAUUCAAUGUAUUAGGUUUAUCCAACUCGUUGAACGGUCGGGACGUAAAUUUCUGGUAGCUGGCUCGGCCUUACAACAACAAACAAGUUUGACCUCAAAUCAGGUAAGAAUACCCGCUGAACUUAAGCAUAUCAAUAAGCGGAGGAAGG